ensembl:snRNA U6 U6 spliceosomal RNA
AGGCUCCCUUUGGCAGCACAUAUACUAAUAUUGGAAUCAUACAGAGAUUAGCAUGGCUCCUGAGCAAGGAUGGCACACAAGUUCAUGAAGCAUUUCAUAUUUAC